UACGUAGGGGGCAAGCGUUGUCCGGAUUUAUUGGGCGUAAAGAGCGUGUAGGCGGCCAGGUAGGUCAGCUGUGAAAACUCGAGGCUCAACCUCGAGACGCCGGUUGAAACCAUCUGGCUAGAGUCCGGAAGAGGAGAGUGGAAUUCCUGGUGUAGCGGUGAAAUGCGCAGAUAUCAGGAGGAACACCGGUGGCGAAGGCGGGUCUCUGGGCCGAUACUGACACUGAGAAGCGAAAGCGUGGGGAGCGAACAGG
rnacentral:rRNA from 1 species